GCAGACCUAACAAACAGACUGCACAAAGUCUUUCUGCUUACUCAAACUUUUCACUCUACACUGGGAAACAAAAAGCUAUACACAGGAACUGGGUCACUCAACUCAAUUCAAAGCACAUCUGAAAAACAACAAUAGUGUAAGCUUUCUGGUCCACUGCUUUGUGCCUUCUACUCAGUAAAUUUAAAGACAUUGAACGAGCCAUUUUUUAAAUGGAGGAUAAUAUGCAAACGUCCUAUGAACCUGGCUAACCCACCACCGUCUACAAGGGAGGCUCAAACAAAGAACAGCAUGCCCUCACCAUCUUCUUGCUAGUAUCCUGAAAAAAUUAAAAAAAAAA